rnacentral:rRNA from 1 species
UGGGGAAUUUUGGACAAUGGGCGCAAGCCUGACCCAGCAACGCCGCGUGAAGGAUGAAGUAUUUCGGUAUGUAAACUUCGAAAGAAUAGGAAGAAUAAAUGACGGUACUAUUUAUAAGGUCCGGCUAACUACGUGCCAGCAGCCGCGGUAAUACGUAGGGACCAAGCGUUGUUCGGAUUUACUGGGCGUAAAGGGCGCGUAGGCGGCAAUUCAAGUCAUCUGUGAAAUCUCCGGGCUUAACUCGGAACGGUCAGAUGAUACUGCUUUGCUAGAGUGCAGAAGGGGCAAUCGGAAUUCUUGGUGUAGCGGUGAAAUGCGUAGAUAUCAAGAGGAACACCUGAGGUGAAGACGGGUUGCUGGGCUGACACUGACGCUGAGGCGCGAAAGCUAGGGUAGCAAACGGGAUUAGAUACCCCAGUAGUCCCUGAGCGGGCUGGCAAGGCGCAU